rnacentral:rRNA from 1 species
UACGUAGGGUGCAAGCGUUAAUCGGAAUUACUGGGCGUAAAGCGUGCGCAGGCGGUUAUGUAAGACAGGUGUGAAAUCCCCGGGCUUAACCUGGGAACUGCAUUUGUGACUGCAUAGCUAGAGUACGGUAGAGGGGGAUGGAAUUCCGCGUGUAGCAGUGAAAUGCGUAGAUAUGCGGAGGAACACCGAUGGCGAAGGCAAUCCCCUGGACCUGUACUGACGCUCAUGCACGGAAAGCGUGGGGAGCAAACAGG